CCAAAUUCCAAACUCAAGAUAGACUGGACAAACGAAAUUUCUAAUCCCAUAAACUGGGCAAACAAACAAAAUUUCCAAAUCCCGUGAAUCGGGCAUCAAAAGAAAUUUUCAAUCCCACGAACUGGGCACAAAUUUCACACAAAUUUCAAAUUCAAGCUCGACAAAUGCCAAAUUUAAGGUAAUCACAGCUAACAUCACAUCCCCAUCUUUCUCGUCACAAUGAACCCAUCAAAAUCAGCAUAGCAACAAUAUCCCAAAAUUCAAACUUUAGCUCCUCUUCUCCAUCCAUCCAUCCAUUGAAAGCCCAAAUAAAACUAAACCCAUACCCAAACAAUAACCAAGCCCAAUAGUAAACUCAAUUGACCAAAACCCAACUCAUAAUCUAUAGCCCAAAUAAUAUUUCCACCCAAUAAAACAUAUACUAUAGGCUACAGCCCAUAUGCCAUAUAACAAAAUACCCAAUUAAAUCAAUCACCAACCCAAGCGCCCAAUUACUCACAAAUCACAGUCCAAUUAAAAACUCAUUAAGCUUCAACCACAGAAGCCCUACAGCAACCGUCCGCCACUCUACGCCGUCGACAUCUGCCUUCUUCUCCAUGGGUCUUGUCGCCGGCCACCACACCUCCAACUACUAACUCCUACAACAACAAUACUCAAACAACCUAUAAACCACUGCUACAACAGAGCAAGGGAUCACAGAUUUCGCCAACUUCGAAGAAGAAUUGAACAU
rnacentral:lncRNA from 1 species